rnacentral:rRNA from 1 species
CCGGUGACGUGCAUUUGAAACUGUAAGACUUGAGUACUGAAGAGGCAAGCGGAAUUCCUAGUGUAGCGGUGAAAUGCGUAGAUAUUAGGAAGAACACCGGUGGCGAAGGCGGCUUGCUGGGCAGAUACUGACGCUGAGGUGCGAAAGCGUGGGGAGCGAACAGG